rnacentral:rRNA from 1 species
UCCGUAGGCGGCUUAAUAAGUCAGUGGUGAAAUCCCUACGCUUAACGUAGGAACGGCCAUUGAUACUGUUAGGCUUGAAUUAUUAGGAAGUAACUAGAAUAUGUAGUGUAGCGGUGAAAUGCUUAGAGAUUACAUGGAAUACCAAUUGCGAAGGCAGGUUACUACUAAUGGAUUGACGCUGAUGGACGAAAGCGUGGGUAGCGAACAGGAUUAGAUACCCUGGUAGUCCACGCCGUAAACGAUGGAUACUAGCUGUUGGGAGCAAUCUCAGUGGCUAAGCGAAAGUGAUAAGUAUCCCACCUGGGGAGUACGUUCGCAAGAAUGAAACUCAAAGGAAUUGACGGGGGCCCGCACAAGCGGUGGAGCAUGUGGUUUAAUUCGAUGAUACGCGAGGAACCUUACCAAGGCUUAAAUGUAGAUUGACCGUUUUGGAAACAGAACUUUCGCAAGACAAUUUACAAGGUGCUGCAUGGUUGUCGUCAGCUCGUGCCGUGAGGUGUCAGGUUAAGUCCUAUAACGAGCGCAACCCCUGUUGUUAGUUGCCAGCGAGUCAAGUCGGGAACUCUAACAAGACUGCCAGUGCAAACUGUGAGGAAGGUGGGGAUGACGUCAAAUCAUCACGGCCCUUACGCCUUGGGCUACACACGUGCUACAAUGGACGGUACAGAGAGCAGCCACUACGUGAGUAGGAGCGAAUCUACAA